UCUUCGUCUUCUUCAUCCAACCCUUUCUCUCUCAUACGAAGACGAAAGAAAGUCUCCGCUCCCCUUGGAGACCGAGAGAAACUACAAGAAAAAAAAACUACAGAAAUUUAUAUAGAUAACUACAGAGCGAGAAACUGUAUAUUUACAGAGAGUGUGUGGUCCCGUACAGUGAGAUUAUGGGAAGUGGUUCUGCAACUCUCCCAGCGAAGCGUUCCAUACCCUUCACAGACAACAGAAUGGACGACCCGAGCUCUCUUAACGGAUCCUCUAAACGAUCCAAGAAGCCUCCUUUGCAGCAGCAGCAACAACAACCCCUUGUCGUUCCCCCGGGACACGUGGCCUUCCGCUUGCUAUGCCACGCGUCGAGGAUCGGAGGCGUCAUUGGGAAGUCCGGGAGCGUGAUCAAGCAGCUCCAGCAGGCCACCGGGUCCAAGAUUCGGGUCGAGAAUGCCCCGGCAGAGUCCCCCGACCGGGUAGUGGCGGUGGUUGCGCCGAGCGCUGUGGUGGCCAAAAUUUCGCUGAAGAGUCCAGUUGGAGGUGGUGGCGAUGGAGGAGGGGAAGAGAUGGAAGUGUCCAAGGCGCAGGAGGCGCUGCUGAAGGUUUUUGAUCGGAUUCUUGAGGUUGCGGCCGAGAGCGGCGCUGUUGGUGCCAGUAUUGGUGUCGUGUCGUGCCGGUUGCUGGCGGAUGCUGCGCAGGCCGGGUCCGUGAUUGGGAAGGGAGGGAAGAUUGUGGAGAAGAUAAGAAAGGACAGCGGGUGUAAAAUUAGGGUUUUGACUGAGAAGUUGCCGGCUUGUGCUGCCUCCACUGAUGAGAUGAUCGAGAUAGAAGGGAAUGUUUUGGCUGUUAAGAAAGCACUUGUUGCGGUCUCUCGGCGUGUUCAAGAUUGUCCAUCGGUUGAUAAGACAAAAGCUGUUGGAAACAGACAACUUGAGGCAGUAGUUCCUCAAGAAACCUUGCCUGAUCUGCGUAUGGAACAUCUUUCUCACAGAAAUUUGAUGCUGCCUACUUAUACUACUAGCUCCCUCAGUCUGCCUACCAGCUCCAUCAGCUAUGUUUCCGGGGUUCGCCCCUUGGCAUUAGAGUCUGAAAGGAUCACGGCACUUGAAGAAAAAAUGCAACCACAGGAAGUUUCAUUCAGAAUUCUUUGUGAAAAUGAUAGGGUUGGGAGUGUAAUUGGAAAGGGUGGCUCAGUUAUCAGGGCUCUUCAGAGUGAUACUGGUGCUAAUGUAAGUGUUGGAGUGUCAUUGGCUGAUUGUGAUGAACGAUUAAUAACGGUUUCUGCAUCAGAGAACCCUGAAUCAAGGUAUUCGCCAGCUCAAAAGGCUGUGGUUCUCGUUUUCUCUAGGUUUUUAGAGGCUAGCUCUGAAAAGGGACAAGAUUCUGGCAAUAAAGGUUCAUCUGUUACUGCACGGCUUGUUGUCCCAUCAAAUCAAGUUGGUUGUUUAUUGGGUAAAGGAGGUGCAAUAGUUUCUGAAAUGCGGAAGGUAACUGGUGCUAACAUAAGAGUGAUAGGGGGUGACCAGGUCCCAAAGUGUGUCACAGAGAAGGAUGUAGUGGUACAGAUUUCAGGAGAUUUUUCAAGUGUACAAGACGCAUUGUACAAUGCCACUGGUAGAUUACGGGAUAACCUUCUAUCCAGUAUAGUAAACAGUGCUGCAACAAGGAAUGCUUCGUCUUUGCUAACUAAUACUAGUCCCUACGCAAGGAUGAGGGACCCUGCUCCUCCUGGAAUAAAUACUUCACCACCAAUUGGUGUUACUCAUAGUUUCACUCAACAUUCUACACUUAGUAAAGGCUUAGAUCAUCUUGGACUUUCUCACACUUUAGAUCAUCCUUCUUCACCAAGACAAUGGGAAUCACAGAUGAUGGCUGGAGUUAGUACAAGGGGAUUCUCUGAAGCUGGCGGGGGAUUCUCUAAUGCUGUUAGGGGAUUCUCUGAUGCCAGCAGGGGUUUCUCUGAUGCUGGCAGGGGAUUAUCUGAUGCUGGCAGGGGUUUCUCUGAUGCUAUCAGGGGAUUCUCUGAUGCUAGUAGGGGAUUAACUUCUCUAAAAGGUGGCUUGGAACUGGGAAGCAGUGGAAGCAAAUCAGCAGCUAUUGUAACAAAUACAACCGUAGAGAUUGUAGUUCCUGAAAAUGUUAUUGGCUCUGUGUAUGGGGAGAAUGGGAACAACUUGACUCGACUAAGACAGAUUUCAGGUGCUCGGGUCAUUGUGCACGAACCACGUCCUGGAACAAGUGAUAGAAUCAUAGUCAUAUCUGGUACACCCGAUGAAACCCAGGCAGCUCAGAGCUUGCUACAUGCUUUCAUUCUUACUGGACCGUCAUGACAACUUGUAGAGAAGUGAGAAGGAAACAAUUUAGGUCUAUUGGUCUUGCAUACUCUCGUCAUCUCGGUCAAAGUGUCUCCACAGUACAAGGAAGAUGAUUGAGAUUUAAGGUAGGCCUAGUUGACAAAUUUGGUGGUGGCAUGAAAAUUUCCCUUGAUCUCAUGAAAAUAACUAUCAAGCAUUUUAGACAUUUUGGCUGCUGGAUAUCUCUUCUGUUUGAGGCGGUUUAUCAUCACAGCCCCAUCAGGAAACACCCCAGAAACAGGCAGUUCAUCAUCACAACCCCAUCAGGAAAAUCCAUUCUAUAUAGGAUUGGUUGAGCAAGGGAGUGCCGAUCUCAGGAGCCAGCUCACCCACGCCAACAAGCGUAUUGAUGAGAUCCUGUCUUGUUUGCCACCUAUAACUGAUCAGAAUGUCAAACGGAGGGCAAGUGGAUCUCAAGAGAAUAGAUUGCGAAGGCGUGGUCACCCCAACACGAGCCGUUUGGUUCGGACUGCCACUCCGAGCAUUGUGCCAUUGGGGCAGAUUUCUAGAAAUGACCGAUCUGCACACACUCAGAGAAAUGAGCAAGCAGCUCACAUGUCUAGGAGACAGCCUAAUCAACCCGGAUGGGCUGGUACAAAUUGAAGGCGAGGUGGGAUUCCCUUGAAUCCACUGGCUCAAGUCCAUGCUAAUAACCAUGGUCAAGAAGAGGGCCUACCCCUUGUAAGGGAGAUUGGGGUGGAUGAUGGGCGACCCAGAGCUGUGCGCCCAUAUGGACGACAUGUGGCUUCCCCGAUAAGGUAUUCACCAUCACCAAUACGCCAUCUGUCACCCUAGCGAGCUCCAUCGUCACCGCGAGAUCGAAGGAGUGGAUCCCUUUAAAGGAAUGACUGAAGAAACUAUGUUCACAGAGAGGUUACUCAUGUCACUCGAUCUCGAGAUACCAGAAUUUGAGUUCGUGUUAACGAUCACUCACUGACCUCAUCAACGAAUUGUGAGUUUUGCUAAAGAUAGCUAUUGGAUGGAGAACUGUCACGAAGACAAGUCAGAGAGUGUUCAUAACACUCACUCUCGAAGGUAAGAGCCUGAUCUGAGAGAACAUCUCAACUCUGCUCAUAGUUUCAGCGGUAGCUGUCAGCCCGACUUGCAUGAGCGCUUAAACUCACAGCGGAGACAACCAAGUUGGGAUUAUAAUCAUCUUCCAAGGGAAAACCCUCAUGUGAGGCGUGAUAAUGGGAACGUCCCAAUGAACUGAGCUCCAGCUUGGAGGGAGGAUAACACGCAACCCGGAUUGAGAGCAAGUCAUUAGCUCCCAAAUAAUUCGACAGUGAGGGAUCCAACCCUAAAACGACUUGCUGUGAUGGAGGAUUAGAUGAGGCUCCUUCUGUUAGAAAGAAACAAGGAUGACUGUGAUUAUGAUGAAAAGCUCGAGCCAUUUGCUCUUCACAUUGGCGCAACAUUGUAUCCGCCUGGCUCUAAGAUGCCACUGAUGGCGACCCACGACAGAACUACCGAUCCGUCUAACCACAUCAGGACCUUCAACACCUUAAUGAGGGCCCAUAAUGUAGGCGUCCACAUGCAAUGUGUUUUAUUCCCAGCCACUUUGACUGGAGCUGCCAAAUUAUGGUUUGACAAGUUCAAGAGGCAGACAAUCACUUCCUGAAAUUAAUUGUUGUCAGAUUUCAAGAAGCAGUUUCGAGCUACCAAGGAGAUACAGGUGGAGGCAAACUUAUUGGCCAACAUAAAGCAGCAACCAGGUAAGUCUCCCAAGGCUUACAUAAACCGGUUCACCAAUAUUGCAGCUUGAGCACGAGAUGCCGAUGACAGUGCCAAACUCAUGGAAAUGCGGUCUGAAAUCACUGUAGGAAGUGAAUUAUGGAAGGAGCUCCAAAGGAAAGGAGUUAAAAACACAGAUGAAUUUUUAGCUUCAGCUCAAGAGUGGAUUAACCUCGAGGAGGCGGAGUCCACCGUAGUAGGAGCUAGUAGUGUUCCAAUUCAACCCACUAGAGUGGUGACAAACAUUGUAGCGUCAACUUGGCCAGUUACCCAUAAUAACUAGACAAGUAAUAAUAAUAAGAGGAAAGGGAACAAUGAAGGGGACCAAGCAUGGUCCAAGAAAAAUAAAGCUGGGGAGACGUACACCUCAAUUUUCAUUGUGUUUACUGUUCUAACAGAUACACAAGAAAGUUUAUACCUGGUUAACUCUACUCGCCUUCCUUGGAAAAACAGAAAUCGACGCGCUGAGAGAGAGCCGACAAAGUUUUGUCGUUACCAUAACGACAUUGGUCAUACUAUAGACCACUGUCGCCAUCUGAAAGAUGAAAUUGAGACGUUGAUUCGGACUGGAUCGUUAGCACAGUAUGCCCGAAAUCGGGUAGCCCCUAACCAACAGGUCGCACGGAAUCUGCGACCAACUUCGGGUAAUCAGCCAAAUCCACUCGUAGCUUUUCCAGUUCUAGAAAACCCUCUCAUCCCACCUUCAGUAGAAGGGAGGGACAUAGCCACUAUCAUAGGCUAGCCAUGUUUAGCUGGAACAAGUAAUGGGGUCCAUAAGAGAUACAUUUAGGAGCUGAAGACCCACGACAGUGCGGUAUAUACUCUUGAGCAGCGCUUGCCAAAGCAGCAGAGAACUGAUAAACAACCCAUCAUUUUUAUGGAAGAGGACAUCUGCCACGUCCAAUUCCCACACAAUGAUCUGCUUGUGAUAACCUUUCAGCUCACCAACAGGAGAGUCUGGAGAAUUCUGAUCGACAACGGUAGCUUAGUAAAUGUGUUAUUCAGGUCCACAUUGGAAAAGAUGGAACUUUCAGUCACAGACCUAAAAGCCUCAUCAACAACUCUUUAUUGGUUCUCAGGAGAAGGGUUGGCAGCAAUAAGGACGAUUGAGCUCGUUGUAUUAAUCGGUGAUGAAGCUCGAGCCACUGCAAAGAUGCUCGAAUUUAUUGUUAUAGAUUGUCUGUCUGCCUAUAACGCCAUCCUAGGGUGACUUGCCUUAAUAAUCUUUGAAGCCAUAACUUGUGUUCGCCAUCUAACCAUGAAAUUUCCCUCACCAAUAGGAAUAUGUACAGUUAAAGGAGAUCGGCUUGUUGCCAGAGAGUGAUAUAGCAUCUCGAUAAAGGGAAGAACGCAACAUGGGUAGCAAACAAUGGUAAUUAUCGUGGAAGCAGAGGAGCUUCAAUUAAUGGAGAUUGAGGUCGUCGAAUUAUAAGAGAUUGACAUACGAGUGAGUGAGGAUAAGUCAGAGCUCUAGGCUCUUGAGGAACUGGAGGAGGUAAUCCUCGAUCAGGAAGCAACUUCCAAAGUUGUGAAGAUUGGAAGAAAUCUCGGUAUUGAGCAGAAGAGGAACCUGAUUGAGUUUCUUAGAAAUAACCUCGACAUCUUCGCAUGGUCAUGCUAACAUGGUUGGCAUUAGUCCUAAUGUGAUCAUGCACAUGUUGAAUCUGGAAAGGAACAUGCCAGCAACGCAACAAAAAAGAAGGCAAUUUGGAAAAGAAACAGAAGAAGUGACAACUCUAUAAUAUAGAGUUACCUACAAAGCUAAGGAUUGGUGUGAUAUUCUUAUUUUUGUUUAAGAGCUAGUUUUCGUUCUGAGGGAAAAUAAGUAAAAAAACAAUGAUAAAUUUGUUGGAGUUGAGUGAGGUGGAAAUGAGCUAAUGUUAUUUAAAAUGAUAAUUUUUUGUGUAGAAUUCUCGAGAUGCUGCAGCAACGUUGAAGCAUUGUGACUAGGCAGCAAGUAUUUUUGGGUCAACAUGAGGAGCUGCCAUCUCAGCAAUAUAAAUCAAUCUUUUUGAAUUAACUUGACUUGGGCUGAAUCGUAAAUGAAGAGAUUAAUUAUGUUGGUGCAUAUUUAGCAAAAGGACAAAUAAUUGGAUAAAGGAAGUCGUGUGGAAAGGAAGAAUGGGAAAUAAUUGAAGCUUUAAUAUCACAUAUCAUAUAUAAAUAUAUGUCAUCUUUUAGAGGAGAAAGGGGAUACGACCAACCACCAUUGAACAAUAGAAAGUGGUGAAUGAAGAAGAAGAAGAAGAAAAGGCAAAAGAAAGAGGAGGACAAGAGGAGAUAACCACUUGGGGACACUUAUUGGGGCUUGAUUUUCUCAUCAUUUUCUUAGUAUAUAAUUUCUUCUCUUGUAUUUUUCUUGUCAAUGUUUGAAUUUAUUAUUACUAUUUUAAUUAUGAGCUAAUUUUUUUAGUAGCUAGAAUAAUUGUUGAACCCUAAUAUGUGAAUUUUGUACUUUGUUGAGGAUGCUUAAUGCAAUUCGAAGUUUAUUCAUUCAAGUGAUUUUAAUGUUUAAAUGCUUGCUAUUGUUUGAUCACCAAUAGUGGGCAAUUGAGUUAAUUAAUAAUUUUGAAAAUAAUUUAAUUAAUGGACAUACAACUUGAAUGGUUCAAGAUUAAGUUCUUUGAAUUUAAUUUGUGUUACUAUAGACAUAUAUUAAUGCAUUGCAUAAUCUUUGUGGAAUUGGUGCUUGGCAAAUAUUCUUGAAGUUAGAUUGACAUAAACAUAUAUGUUAGUUUAAUUAGAGAAUUUAUACCAUAGUGAUUCCGACGAGAACCUAGGACUUUAAUUGGAAUUCUUGAUUAAUAAUACCCAAUUUGCUAUGGCACACUGGCAACAUUAUCAUCAGUUUUGCAUAUUAGGGGGAAUUAAUUGUUCUAGCUUGUUUCAUUCUCUUGCUAUCUUAUUAUUUUGUUUUUUUUUAUUAUUUACUUUCUUGCUUAGUUUUUAGGAUCAACCAAAUUUAUUUUCACUUGCUUUGUUCCAAGUUGUCUAGUAUUGAUUUUUGCACGAUUAUUUGCUAAUUCAAUCCAUGUGGAGAUGAUACUCAUUCUUAUCACUUUAUUACUUGUUGACUGUGUACACUUGCGCAUACUUAUCAUAUAUUAAUUUCACCGCAACAAGAAGCUCUAGAGGAAGAAGUAACUCACCUCUUAAAAUGAGGAUUCAUCAAGGAGACAAAGUAUUCGACCUGGAUAGCUAACCCUGUUCUGGUCCCGAAGCCAAACGAAAAAUGAAUAACUUAUAUUGACUUCUCUAAUCUCAACAAGGCUUGCCCAAAUGAUUGUUUUUCUUUGCCAAGAAUUGAUCAACUCGUAGAUGCCACGGUAGGACAUGAGCUCAUGUCUUUCAUGGACGCAUAUUUUGGAUAUAACCAGAUCACGAUGAACCAUGUCGACUAAUAGCAUACAAGCUUCAUGGCCGAGCAUAACGUAUAUUGCUAGAACGUCAUGCCUUUCGGGCUGACGAAUGUAGGAGCUAUGUAUCAAAGGCUGCUGAACAAAAUGUUUGCUAACUAGAUCGGCCGAAAUAUGGAGGUGUACGUCGAUGACAUGCUAGUCAAGUCGAAGACUACCAAUAACCAUGUGGUCGAUUUGGAAGAAUGUUUUGUCAUGCUGAGAAAAUACAACAUAUAGCUGAAUCCCUAGAAAUGUACCUUUGGUGUCUCAUCAGGGAAGUUCUUAGGCUUCAUCGUAAAUUCUAGGGGGAUUGAAGCCAACCCAGAGAAGACUAGAUCCUUGCUAGAGAUGCCUUCUCCUAGGUCGCGAAAGGAUGUUCAGAGUUUGAUAGGGAGAACUGCUGUUCUGAAUCGCUUUGUGUCAAAAUCUUCUGAUAAGUGUCUUCCUUUCUAUAACUUAUUAAAGGGGAACAAAAAAUUUGAGUGAACCGACGAGUGUGAGCUGACAUUUCUGGAUCUGAAGAAACAUUUGGCUGAGCCCCCUAUUCUAUCGGAACCUAUCAAUGGAGAGGCUUUGUAUCUUUAUUUUGCUGUGGGGAAAAUGUGGCCAACGUAGUUUUAGUUUGGGAAGAAGAUUAGACUUAGAAGUCAGUCUAUUACACCAACAAGAGGCUUCUAGGAGCUGAAAAUUGAUACCUGUUGAUGGAGAGACUUGCGUUCUGCCUAGUCUUGGCCUUGAGGAAGUUACAGCCUCACCAAUCAGCCUUUAAGGCAGGUAUUGCAAAACCUGAGACAUUGGGGCGAUUGUUAAACUGGGCCAUCAAACUCAGUCAGUUCGAGAUUUUAUAUAAACCAUGAUCAACCAUCAAAGGGCAUACCCUAACUGAUUUUGUGUCAGAGUGCACUAGUUUUUAGGAUGAACCAAUAAGGGGGCCAGUGCAAGAAUCGUGGAAACUGUUCGUGGAUGGGUUAUCUAAUGAGCACAGGUCAGGAGCUGGAAUCAUUUUGACUACUCCAGAAAGACAUUGCUUCCAUAUUGCUCUAAGGUUUGGAUUCAAAGCCUCAAAUAAGAAGUUAAGUAUGAAGCUUUUAUGACUGGAGUUCGAGUAGCUAAGGAGUUAAA